UGGGGAAUAUUGCGCAAUGGGCGAAAGCCUGACGCAGCGACGCCGCGUGAGGGAUGAAGGCCUUCGGGUUGUAAACCUCUUUCAGCAGGGAAGAAGCGCAAGUGACGGUACCUGCAGAAGAAGCACCGGCUAACUACGUGCCAGCAGCCGCGGUAAUACGUAGGGUGCAAGCGUUGUCCGGAAUUAUUGGGCGUAAAGAGCUCGUAGGCGGUCUGUCGCGUCUGCUGUGAAAAUCCAGGGCUCAACCCUGGACCUGCAGUGGGUACGGGCAGACUAGAGUGCGGUAGGGAGAUCGGAAUUCCUGGUGUAGCGGUGAAAUGCGCAGAUAUCAGGAGGAACACCGGUGGCGAAGGCGGAUCUUCUUGGGCCGUAACUGACGCUGAGGAGCGAAAGCAUGGGUAGCGAACA
rnacentral:rRNA from 1 species